AGGACGAACGCUGGCGGCGUGCUUAACACAUGCAAGUCGAACGAACUUUCUUCCUUCGGGUUGAAAGUGAGUGGCGAACGGGUGAGUAACACGUGAGCAACCUGCCCUUGACACUGGAAUAACAGUUGGAAACAGCUGCUAAUACCGGAUAUGACCUCUGACGACAUCGUCUGGAGGUGGAAAGCUCCGGCGGUCAAGGAUGGGCUCGCGGCCUAUCAGCUUGUUGGUGAGGUAACGGCUCACCAAGGCUUCGACGGGUAGCCGGCCUGAGAGGGCGACCGGGCCACGACUGGGACUGAGAUACGGCCCAGACUCCUACGGGAGGCAGCAGUGGGGAAUAUUGCACAAUGGGCGCAAGCCUGAUGCAGCAACGCCGCGUGCGGGAUGACGGCCUUCGGGUUGUAACCGCUUUCAGUAGGGACGAAGUUCACAUGACGGUACCUACAGAAGAAGGACCGGCCGAACUACGUGCCAGCAGCCGC
rnacentral:rRNA from 1 species